rnacentral:rRNA from 1 species
AGAACGAACGCUGGCGGCAGGCCUAACACAUGCAAGUCGAGCGCUGUAGCAAUACAGAGCGGCGCACGGGAGAGUAAUACGUGGGAACCUACCCUUUGGUUCGGAAUAACGUCGGGAAACUGACGCUAAUACCGAAUAAGCCCUUCGGGGGAAAGAUUUAUUGCCGAAGGAUGGGCCCAUGUUGGAUUAGCUAGUUGGUGAGGUAACGGCUCACCAAGGCAACGAUCCAUAGCUGGUCUGAGAGGAUGAUCAGCCUCACUGGGACUGAGACACGGCCCAGACUCCUACGGGAGGCAGCAGUGGGGAAUAUUGGACAAUGGGGGCAACCCUGAUCCAGCCAUGCCGCGUGAGUGAUGAAGGCCUUCGGGUUGUAAAGCUCUUUUGGCGGGGACGAUGAUGACGGUACCGCAGAAUAAGCCCCGGCUAACUUCGCGCCAGCAGCCGC